UGUAGUAGCUCAGUGGAAGAGCACUUGCCUAGCAUGCACAAAGCCCUGGGUUCCAUUCCCAGUACUGCAA
rnacentral:tRNA from 1 species